UAAGAUGGCUGAGUGUUAAGCGGUGGAUUGUACACCCAUGGACGGGGGUUUAAGUCCCCCUUUUAC
rnacentral:tRNA from 1 species